AUGGGCUUUCAGCCUGGGCCGAGGAAUAAUUCCGUCUCUUUCUUCUCCCACUUCUCUUCCUGUCCUAUCGUCUCCUCUCCCAAUUGCCAGAGUCCGAAUCUCUCGUGCUCCCGGAGGCCGGAGCACGCAGGAGAUCGAAUUCGCCGCGCCGGCUCGCCGGAGACGACAGACCCCCACAGAGUGGUGGUGCGUAUAAUGAACAAAGGCAGCAUCCACAAAAAGGAGACGCACGGAACAAGCGACGACAUAAGCGAGAACACGCCUGUGGAGAAGGUCAGGGGCCCCAAUCUGUUUGAACGGACCAAGGAAGAGAUCGAGGCUCUUGUGGCGGCUGUUCACGAUAAGAUGGAGCACCAUUCCAGUCCCCGCGGGAAGGAGGGUGAAUUGCACAAGGAUUCCAAGGAACACAGCAAGGCAGACAUGCAUAAGAAGACCCACGAGAACGAAACUCAUGGUACAAGCAAUGAUAUAAGUGAGGACACGCCGGUCAGCAAAGUCAAAGGCCCGGGCGUGUUUGAACGUGCCAAGGAAGAGAUCGAAGCUAUCGUUGAGGCCAUCCAUCCGAAGAAAGAAUCCGACAAGUGA
rnacentral:rRNA from 1 species